rnacentral:rRNA from 1 species
UACGAAGGGGGCCAGCGUUGUUCGGAAUUACUGGGCGUAAAGGGCGCGUAGGCGGUGUGUCAAGUCAGGCGUGAAAGCCCCGGGCUCAACCUGGGAACCGCGCUUGAGACUGGCACGCUCGAGUUCGGGAGAGGAUGGUGGAAUUCCCAGUGUAGAGGUGAAAUUCGUAGAUAUCGGGUGGAACACCUGUGGCGAAGGCGGCCAUCUGGACGUUCACUGACGCUGAGACGCGAAAGCGUGGGUAGCAAACAGG